GCUCACCAAGGCGACGAUCUGUAGCGGGUCUGAGAGGAUGAUCCGCCACACUGGAACUGAGACACGGUCCAGACUCCUACGGGAGGCAGCAGUGGGGAAUUUUGGACAAUGGGGGCAACCCUGAUCCAGCCAUGCUGCGUGAGUGAAGAAGGCCUUCGGGUUGUAAAGCUCUUUCAGCCGGGAAGAAAACGCAUGGGUUAAUACCCUGUGUGGAUGACGGUACCGGAAUAAGAAGCACCGGCUAACUACGUGCCAGCAGCCGCGGUAAUACGCAGGGUGCGAGCGUUAAUCGGAAUUACUGGGCGUAAAGCGUGCGCAGGCGGUUUUGUAAGACAGGCGUGAAAUCCCCGGGCUUAACCUGGGAACUGCGUUUGUGACUGCAAGGCUAGAGUACGGCAGAGGGGGGUGGAAUUCCACGUGUAGCAGUGAAAUGCGUAGAGAUGUGGAGGAACACCAAUGGCGAAGGCAGCCCCCUGGGUCGAUACUGACGCUCAUGCACGAAAGCGUGGGUAGCAAACAGGAUUAGAUACCCUGGUAGUCCACGCCCUAAACGAUGUCAACUAGGUGUUGGGAGGGUAAAACCUUUUAGUACCGGAGCUAACGCGUGAAGUUGACCGCCUGGGGAGUACGGCCGCAAGGUUAAAACUCAAAGGAAUUGACGGGGACCCGCACAAGCGGUGGAUGAUGUGGAUUAAUUCGAUGCAACGCGAAAAACCUUACCUACCCUUGACAUGCCAAGAACUUUCCAGAGAUGGAUUGGUGCCCGAAAGGGAACUUGGACACAGGUGCUGCAUGGCUGUCGUCAGCUCGUGUCGUGAGAUGUUGGGUUAAGUCCCGCAACGAGCGCAACCCUUGUCGUUAAUUGCCAUCAUUUAGUUGGGCACUUUAACGAGACUGCCGGUGACAAACCGGAGGAAGGUGGGGAUGACGUCAAGUCCUCAUGGCCCUUAUGGGUAGGGCUUCACACGUCAUACAAUGGUCGGUACAAAGGGUCGCCAAGCCGCGAGGUGGAGCCAAUCCCAGAAAGCCGAUCGUAGUCCGGAUCGCAGUCUGCAACUCGACUGCGUGAAGUCGGAAUCGCUAGUAAUCGUGGAUCAGAAUGUCACGGUGAAUACGUUCCCGGGUCUUGUACACACCGCCCGUCACACCAUGGGAGCGGGUUCCGCCUGAAGUAGGUAGCCUAACCGCAAGGAGGGCGCUUACCACGGCGGGGUUCGUGACUGGGGUGAAGUCGUAACAAGGUA
rnacentral:rRNA from 1 species